rnacentral:rRNA from 1 species
UGCUAAUACCGGAUAACAACAGAUGAUGCCUAUCAACUGUUUAAAAGAAUGGUUCUGCUAUCACUCUUGGAUGGACCUGCGGUGCAUUAGCUAGUUGGUAGGGUAACGGCCUACCAAGGCGAUGAUGCAUAGCCGAGUUGAGAGACUGAUCGGCCACAUUGGGACUGAGACACCGGACCCAAACUCCGUACGGGGAGGCAGCAGUU